CUUGGAUCUGUGACAGCUCCAGGUUCUUCAUGAAGUCAUUGUCCAAGAUGGCUUCCUUGAUCAGAUCCUUGGACCUGGAGACAAGGUGAAUGCAGGCCAGAUGCAGUGAUGUUUGAAACCGUCAAAGCAAGCGUCGGUCUGAUCUACUCCGAUACGACAGAGCACCAAGAGACGGGAGAGAAAUCUGAGGCGGGCCAGAUCCUGAACGAAACUGAUUUCAAGGAGCAUUGUUGACGCUGAUCACCUGAGGAGCUUAAAGCUAAAAGAGCAAAUAACCGCAGAGGCAUUUUAUGAACCAGUGCUCCCACUACCCACAGGCUUCUCUGUCCUGCUCUCAACCUGCAGAAAAGUCCUACACAAACAAAACUUCAAUGUCUGCCAUGAUUCAAUAUCAGCAGUGACCACUUUUUUUGUUUAUUUAUGUACUGAGCACCCUGCACAUGUCUAGUACUACAAACUCCUCUGAACAUUCAUGUGUAUGUGAGGUUAUUUUCUAUAGUCAGUGUCUUAAUUCUGUUCAAGGGCUUACUGCUAUCUGCAUGAAUGCCUCUCCAUUAAAUAUUGACACACUUUGUCAAUUAAUUUGGUAAAAAACUUCAGAAUAAAAACUACCAAAACCAUGAGA